GAGGGUAAAAGCUCAGUGGUAGAGCGCAUAUUUAGCAUGCAGGAGGUCCUGGGUUCAAUCCCCAGUCCCUCCA
rnacentral:tRNA from 1 species